CUGCUGGUGAGCAACUGCUCAAUCUUCUCCUGACACGACUUCAGACAGUCCUAUAAUAAAGACAUGAACAAAAAGAAGGUAAAUCUCUGUGUGGGAGGUCUGGAGAAAUAAUCCACCAGUGGGGCCCCUGUGCUUUCCCCCACCCUUCUCUCUCUCCAGCUUUCUUGUGCUCAGACUGUAGUAUUACUGUGCUUGCUUUGAUGCAUGCCUGCAUUCCCAUGACAAUUAAAAAACCCUCAACUGCU